rnacentral:tRNA from 1 species
UCCGUGGAGGACUAGUCGUUAGGCCUCAGUGCUCUCGCCGCUGUGGCCCGGGUUCAAUUCCGAGCCAGCGAA